GACAGAGGAGGCGAGCGUUAUCCGGAGUUAUUGGGCGUAAAGCGUACGUAGGCGGCUGGUCAAGUCUGGGGUUAAAGACCACAGCUUAACUGUGGGGGGGACUUGGAAACUGACCGGCUGGAGUGGGGCAGGGGUUGCGGGAAUUCCCGGUGUAGCGGUGAAAUGCGUAGAGAUCGGGAAGAACACCUGAGGCGAAAGCGCGCAACUGGGCCCUAACUGACGCUGAGGUACGAAAGCUAGGGGAGCGAAUGGG
rnacentral:rRNA from 1 species